CYGGCGGCGUGCUUAACACAUGCAAGUCGAACGAUGAUSSSARGCUUGCUSSUGGAUUAGUGGCGAACGGGUGAGUAACACGUGAGUAACCUGCCCUUAACUCUGGGAUAAGCCUGGGAAACUGGGUCUAAUACCGGAUAUGACUCCUCAUCGCAUGGUGGGGGGUGGAAAGCUUUWUUGUGGUUUUGGAUGGACUCGCGGCCUAUCAGCUUGUUGGUGAGGUAAUGGCUUACCAAGGCGACGACGGGUAGCCGGCCUGAGAGGGUGACCGGCCACACUGGGACUGAGACACGGCCCAGACUCCUACGGGAGGCAGCAGUGGGGAAUAUUGCACAAUGGGCGCAAGCCUGAUGCAGCGACGCCGCGUGAGGGAUGACGGCCUUCGGGUUGUAAACCUCUUUCAGUAGGGAAGAAGCGAAAGUGACGGUACCUGCAGAAGAAGCGSCGGC
rnacentral:rRNA from 1 species